CCGCUUUGUGUUCGGCUGAUUGACAGCUCACCUGCGAGCUGGUGUCGGUUCAGCUGAGGACACGGCGCCUUGUUAUCUGAUGGCUCCAGUUUUGCAUUUGUACAGUUUAUACCUUUUUUUUAUAAGAACCGAUUCACGUUCUUCUAAAGCAUCUUUAGGAACUCGUACACUCCUUCUUUGCUGGAUUUUGACCUCCUCCUCUAUUGUUAGUGGCUUUAGCAAAGAUUUCUUCGUGCGAGCAUCAGACGAGUAACUUCACACUGUGCGAGGAGGAAGGAAAUGUCAUUUUAAAUACUGGUCGCCAGGUGUGACUCAUAAUCUUUGCAGACUGAUGAACCUUCCCACUGGUGCGGGUGCUCGUAUAACAGCCCCCAACUAUCCUGCCAGCGUUUCAUUCAGCGCACCUUUGUACUUAAGCUUUGUACAGCUCUCCGUCAACUCCAAGCUCCGGCGAUACGCAGCAGCAGCAACAAUGGCAACAAUCGCUGUUGAAUAUUGGUUUGAACUCCGACCUGUGAGGAAGAGUUAAUGUUUUAUUUUGUGUCCCAGCGGAGGAUGAGGUUACGCCUCCCGCUACCGCCGCCUGGAGAAGGACCUCAAACAGAUUCCUGGUGUGAAGAAGACAGCUUUGAGGUGUCUGUGGACGGUAAGCUGAUCUACUCCAAGCUGCAGACGGGAUCGUUUCCUGAUCCGUCUCAGUUGGUGGAGAUCGUGAAGAAGAUGAUUGGCCAAUAAGGAGGAAACGGGGGGGGGGGCGACAUUUAUGAGUCCUCUUCUUUAAAAGCUGUAUUCACACUGCAAGAACAAGGGUUUGUGUCUUUUCACGGUUCGGAGCUCAUUCGCUCACAGAUGCUAAUAUGAAUACAAAAGGUAAAUUAAAAUUGAAGUUGUUAACAGAAAACAACUUAAUUUUGGACCAAAAAGUCUCAGCAUCCGCCACGAGGAGAUCGGACUGUUUGUCUUCGCUGUGAAUACAAAGACGAGAAGGUGAUGAGAGCAGCUGUGAGGAGCCGGACGCCGAUCUGCACUCUAGUUUAUGAAUGUUCACACUAAAAGUAAUGCAGUGUGAACACGAUGGAAGUCUAGGAGCCAAUCAGCUGACUGGAGCCCGAGGAACUGCUCUCGCCACGUCCGUCUGCUAUUUACUCACCAAUAAAUCAUCAAAGACAUCAGAUAUAUUUUGUAUUUAUACUUCCCAUAUAUGCUCUUUUUAAAAUGUAUAUACAUGGAUUAUCACCUGGGUGUUUUGUAAUAAAGAGCACUGACACUUUACCAGCUUAGAUAGACAUGAAAUCAACUACAAAUGUUAAAUAUGUGAUAUUGAAUUUGACUCUGAGCAUAUAGUUGAACCUUUUUAAAGACAAUUUACAGCAUUGUUACAAUACUGUUACUCAUUUGUAAUCAAUUCCAACCAAAUAAUUUCCUGAAGUGUAAUAAAUUAUCUUUGAAAAGAAAACGAAAAGCUGUGUGGAAUCAUUGAUUCAAAAGAUGUUUCAUUUUCUUUUGCGAUCGGAGCCGACGGGAACAUUCCUUUUUUUUUGCCUCUGAAAUGUAAUACAUUUUAUUCAUUUCAAAUGUAUUUUCCUUUAGUCCAGCGUGUGGAUGAGCAAACAAGUGUCCUCAUUAUCUGUGGACACUUGACAGUGAACUCAAUGUUGUUGUUUUCAUUGAUUGUGACGACCGGCCUUCCCUUUAUCUCCUCGGCCCCGUGUGAGAACAUCUGGACCAGCUGUCUGUUGUUGUGUUGUUGGUCCGUGGAGGUCACGGAGUUCCUCGUCACCCUUUCGAGGUGCGGCGGCUCAGGAAUAAACAAGACGAUACUUUAAAUGAUUGGGGCGGAUCCUCCUUUUAGUUUUCUCACGGGAUUUGAUGAAUAAAUGCAUCAAUCAGCUUAUGGAUCGAGAGGACACGUACCGCGGCUCUAAACCCUCCGGGUCGCGUUUUAAAUCGCCUACAGAUGUCCAUGUAACCUCUGCACCACAUGACCCGUGUCAUCACAUGACGAUAACAAGGCUCCACUCGGGUUUUCACUGGUAGAGUAAGACGUAUCAACAGGAAACAUCCAUCCCCACAUCAGAGGUCGAUGUGGUUCUAUUUCUCGCAAACAAUGUGACUGUGUUGUGACCGUAAUGGAGACAAUAGUGUGUGUGUGUUCGGUAAACGCUCAGUUUCAGUGCUCCAAAUUAAUAUAAAGACCAACACAUGGGCCCUUUGUGAAUGAGGAGUAAGAAAUGCAGGAACAAUUACCUCACUGCUGUGUCAUGCCGCGCGCACACACACACAGAACAAAGGCCUCAUUUGUAAUGUGUGACAAGUGUGUGACUUUAUUUCCUGUCAAUUGAGCGGCUUGUAUUUCCGAUUUUUUUUUUUUAUUUCCGUUUGUUGAAGCCUACAGACAGUUUGUCAGUUUCAGCAGGCUGAAACUUCAACUACCAUCAUUCUGAUAGAAACACUCAUCUAUGAUUCACAUAUAUUGUCGCUACUUCCAAUGUUCUAGUUGUGUGAUCCCUGGUCCAUUUCAAGACAGGUGAAUGCUCGGCUCACAUUUAGGAGAUGGGUAACAUUUGUUUAACAAGCCAGCAAAUACUUGUAUUAAUGCAUUGUAGCUGGUCAAAAGUAAAAUAAGUUUAGCUGCUUGAUUAAUGAAACCAAUAGAUAUUUUUAUUCCGUUCUCAGGAGCUCGGUACCAACAGUUUGGUAUAAAUAUUUGCUUUUGAAUGUUCUGCUCAUGUGGUUUGCGUGUAACUGGA
ensembl:lncRNA